rnacentral:rRNA from 1 species
CGAAGAGGUCACACCCGUUCCCAUACCGAACACGGAAGUUAAGCUCUUCAGCGCCGAUGGUAGUCGGGGGUUUCCCCCUGUGAGAGUAGGACGCCGCCAAGC